CCAUAUGGUCCCCCAAGCACUACCAGGAGUAAUUCCUGAGCUCAAAACAGGAAUAAAAAGCAGGGUUGGGCCUGGUUAGUACUUGUACGGAAGACUGCCUAGGAAUGCCAGGUGCCAUAGGCU
rnacentral:rRNA from 1 species